AUUGAACGCUGGCGGCAUGCCUUACACAUGCAAGUCGAACGGCAGCAUGGAGAGCUUGCUCUCUGAUGGCGAGUGGCGAACGGGUGAGUAAUGCAUCGGAACGUACCGUGUAAUGGGGGAUAACGUAGCGAAAGGUACGCUAAUACCGCAUACGACCUGAGGGUGAAAGCAGGGGAUCGCAAGACCUUGCGUUAUACGAGCGGCCGAUGUCAGAUUAGCGAGUUGGUGAGGUAAAGGCUCACCAAGGCGACGAUCUGUAGCGGGUCUGAGAGGAUGGUCCGCCACACUUGGACCGAGACCCGGCCCAGACUCCUACGUGAGGCAGCAGUGGGGAAUAUUGGACGAGUGGCGAAAGCCUGAUCCAGCAACGCCGCGUGCGGGAUGACGGCCUUCGGGUUGUAAACCUCUUUCAGUACCGACGAAGCGCCAAUAACGGUGGUGACGGUAGGUACAGAAGAAGGACCGGCCAACUACGUGCCAGCCGCCGCGGUAA
rnacentral:rRNA from 1 species